rnacentral:rRNA from 1 species
UGGCGGACGGGUGAGUAACGCGUGAGCAACCUGCCCUUCGGAGGGGGAUAGUGUCUGGAAACGGACAGUAAUACCGCAUAACGUAUUUUUACCGCAUGAUAGAAAUACCAAAACUGAGGUGCCGAAGGAUGGGCUCGCGUUGGAUUAGAUAGUUGGUGGGGUAACGGCCUACCAAGUCAACGAUCCAUAGCCGGACUGAGAGGUUGAACGGCCACAUUGGGACUGAGACACGGCCCAGACUCCUACGGAAGGCAGCAG